rnacentral:rRNA from 1 species
GUCCACGCUGUAAACGAUGAGAACUAGAUGUUACUUUUCCAUUCGUGGUUAAGUAGUAUCGAAGCUAACGCGUUAAGUUCUCCGCCUGGGGAGUACGGCCGCAAGGUUGAAACUCAAAAGAAUUGACGGGGGCUCGCACAAGCGGUGGAGCAUGUGGUUCAAUUCGACGCAACGCGAAGAACCUUACCUACCUUUGAAAUCCCUGGAAUCUCCUAGAGAUAGGAGAGUGCCUUCGGGAACCAGGUGACAGGUGCUGCAUGGCUGUCGU